rnacentral:rRNA from 1 species
CAGCCGCCACGGUAAUACGAAGGGGGCUAGCGUUACUCGGAAUUACUGGGCGUAAAGGGCGCGUAGGCGGCACGAUUAGUCAGGCGUGAAAUUCCUGGGCUCAACCUGGGGACUGUGCUUGAUACGGUCGAGCUAGAGGAUGGAAGAGGGUCGUGGAAUUCCCAGUGUAGAGGUGAAAUUCGUAGAUAUUGGGAAGAACACCGGUGGCGAAGGCGGCGACCUGGUCCAUUACUGACGCUGAGGCGCGACAGCGUGGGGAGCAAACAGGAUUAGAUACCCCCGUAGUCCCUGUCUCUUAUAC